GUGAAGCCAUUAAUACUGAUCGCUACCGACAACAAAUAAUCAAUUUGAACCAGCUUUGAUAGUAAAACCACCAGAAUGGGCCAGAAGACAUGGCAAAGUAAUUUUGCUUCAUGAUAACGUACCAUCACACACUUCAAAACCAGUUAAAGGCACGUUAAAAGAUCUUGCCUGGGAAGUCUUAACCCACCCACUGUAUUCACCAGACCUUGCUCCUUCAGAUUACCACUUGUUCCGAUUGAUGGCACAAUCACUUUCUGAGCAGCACUUCAAAACAAGUGGAAAAUUGGGUCUCUGAAUGGUUUGCCUCAAAUCAAGAAAAGUUCUAUUGGAACAGUAUCCAUAAAUUACCUGAGAGAUGGGGAAAUGUGUAGCUAGCGAUGGACAUUACUUUGAAUAAAGCACUUUUGAUGUU